AACUGAGGUGAAAGAAAUCCGUAAGGUGUUUUAUUAUGAACUCUGCAACAACAAUACAAAUUGGCAUUGGAAUUUGAAGCACACUUGAGCUGUUCUGAUCACAAUCACAGGAAGAUAGACAAUUUAUCUAACACUGACUUGGCUCUUUUGUUGACACGAUUCCAAAUUAACUUAGUUUUUCUUGCCCUAUCUAAUGUUUAAUCAUUGAUGUUAAAUAUGAAGCGUUUCAAGCAAAUGAAAGGAAUGCAUGGUAGCAGUAGUCAGGAUGAUAGGCAAAAGCGAGAGCAGCAACGUCAAGAGAAAGAAUUGGCCAAGUUUGCUAAAAUGUAUCCUUUUAUCAGGAUUUUCUGGCUUUGUGGAAAUGUUAUGGCAUGUCACGAACUCGCCUUAGCAAUAUGGAUGAUUCGCGCCCUGCUGAACUGAUGAAUUAGGGUUGCUGUUAGCUAUCGUUCAGUUAGCUUGAAAUGUUCGACUCGGUUUGGUCUUGAGCUGCAGGUUUGGAUUUGGGAUUGAAUUAUGUUCAUGUUUGAAUGUGAGUAUGGUAGAUGCAGGGCUGCAAUGGGUGUAUUUGAGUGUAGGAAUUGAUUUUCCUUUAACGAAUGGGUAAUGGUUUAUGGUAUGUUUGUAUGAGUUCUGAAACUGCAUGAAUUUGAUGAUAUGAACUGUACUGGUGAUGAAUUAACUUAAA